CUUGGAUUACCUCUGACCCCACCAACAAUCCUGCAAGGAAGGUGCUAUUAAUAUCCUCCUCUCCACUUUACAGAGAAGACUCAAGUGCAAAGAGCUGAGGUGCUUACACAAGACCACCGCACAGGAACGAAGCGUCGGAGUGUGGAAUCGAGACCUGUUCUACUGCACUCCAGAGCACAUGUUCUUUCUACUCUGCCAUAAUGUUUGGGACAAAAUUGAAUCAUGAGGGUUUUUUUCUUCCAUUACAAAUGUAACACAUCGCUCCUGCGUACGGCUGGGAUGAGUCACUGGCACCAGACGUGCCCUCCUGCAAAAAACAGCUAUGAAACUGGACAAAAUACAGGAGGGCCACUGUUUUCAGGCGUUGAACAGUGGAAAGAGGACUGCGAUCCUUGAGAAGAGACGAUGGUGAAGGGAAACUUUUGACCCCUGAAGUCAGGCCCCAGCUUAUGAAGUCCUGCUGUGUUCCAGGCUGUAUCGCCAGCAAGGCAUCAAAAAGGAGAGAAGAGACAGAGUAUCUUCAGGGAGCCCAGGAUGCCCAGUCCUUCUCUCCAAUCCUGAAGAGGAGUUUUGAUAUAGGUCAUAAACCACUGGAUCAAGGAAUGAAAGGUGGGAGUUCUCCGCGGGAGGCAUAAAAAGGCUCUUUGCGAUCACUGCACUCAGCCUCUUUGAGAGAAUCUCUCAGCCCUACUUUUGGAAUCUACUGAUUCCAAUCUACUUUUGGAAUCUAAGAGCCUCUCUUGGAUCUCUUUCCUGGAUUAUGAUUAUAUUUCUCUUUCCCCUCUUUCCACACUUGGAAGAACCCAAGAUCAGAGUGACACAGUACGUGCCCAAGAUACACAGCAAAGAUAUGAAGCGGGUUUUGAAUUCUGGCCUCGUUAGCUCUUUUACACAUAGAAGGUCUUUCUUUUUCUUUCUUUUCUUUUCUUUUUUCUCUCUUUCUUUUUUUUUUUUUUGAGGUUAACAGUGGAGGUUUAAUAGGUUAAAGAGAAAAGCUCUCUCUCCUGCAGAGAGGGAGGGGCUCCCAAGUGGGUCAUCUGGUUCCCUGGUGAAAUGAACUGGGUUUUAUAGGUGAGCUUGGGUAGGUGGAGUGUGAUUUACAUAGAGGAUGAGAGAUUGGUGGGACCAGGUAUGCCAUUUGCAUAGCGUGCCGAGGGAAUCUUUUAUUAUGCAGAUGGGCUCUCUACCUGGCCAGCACCAUGUUGCCUGCUCUUUUUUUUUUUUUUUUUUUUUUUGAGAUGGAGUCUCGCUUUGUCGCCAGGCUGGAGUGCAGUGGCCCCACCUCGGCUCACUGCAACCUCCACCUCCCGGGUUGAAGCGAUUCCCCUGCCUCAGCCUCCCCAGUAGCUGGGAUUACAGGUAUGCACCACCACACCCGGCUAAUUUUUUGUAUUUUGGUAGAGACGG
rnacentral:lncRNA from 10 species